CCACCACAAUUCAGAAAAGGAUCUCAUCGCCCUCCUCCGUCACCAGAUUUUAAAGCUUUUUGAGAUUUUUCAGAGGCUUUGCGACACGUCUCCACCGCCAUUACCAUCUCAGCACUGAAUCCUCCAUCACCACUCUCUCUCUCUAUCUCUCUCUCUCUCUCUCUCUCUACAUCAUAAUAUCAUAUUCUCUCCCUCAUCAUUCACACAGAAAAAGGAGAGAAAGAUUUUCCCUUUUUUCUCUGAUACGUCGGAUAGAUCUGGACCCUCUGCUUGCUUUUUCCUUUAAUGUAAUUGG
rnacentral:lncRNA from 1 species